GUGCCUCAUGGUUGUCUUAACAGAUACAGGCUCUUGCAGUAUCUACGUCAGAGGCAAAUUAAAGAUGGUCUUACACAAGAGUAUCUCUAAUGAGUGGGUCAAAAUAUGUGCCAAGCGGUGGGACAGUGAUACACUAUCUAAUUUUAAUGAUCUUCAAGAGAGAGUCCACAAAAUUAGUAUAAAAGAAAUUGUAUGGAGUCAUGCUGCGGGUGACUGGACCAAAAAACAGCACUUCUUGUUUGCGCACACGAAAAUAUGGAAAUUAGCCUCUGGAGGGUGGAAACCAUGGCUUACAACAUGAAGGCAGAAGAAAAUAUGUUUCUAGAUCUCCUCAAACCAGAUCUUUCAUCAGAUGUUAAACAUAUGCAGUGGACACGGAUUAGUAGUACACAAAGCAUCCUGUUCAUUUGUUGUUAUGAUGGAACCGUCCAUGGCUUAAAUUUGAAACACGAUGAAAUGCUGCUUUCCUGCAACUUAUCAUCAACGAUCAUUGUGUGGGACAAUGCUGAUCUAAUUCUAGUCUCAAAAAUCAUUACUCUGUCAAGGAGUUUGGAUGGAAAUGAAAUUUUGAUUGCAAUGUUGAAAGGUUUCCACAUAGUUGUUUCAUCCAUCAAAAUAGAGAGUUCUACUCCUGCUCAGCCAGCAUUGCUCCAUAAAUUCUCCACACAAAUCACAGGAUUAGACAAAAUUAACGAUGAACAUUUAAUUUGCGGAUUAUGGAAUGGUGCUGUUUAUUUAAUUUCUGUGAAAACCGGUUUAUUAACUGUAGAUGCCAUCGAAAAAGAUAUCUCUUAUGCAAAUUAUUGCUGCCAAGGCCUUGCACUUUCAAGGAAUGGAGCGUUUGCAGUUUUAUGCAACAGCGUUUCUAAGUUUUUUGACCACUCCAACCUGCGGCAAACAGCACAUUUUUACCUAAUGGCAUUACCCAAAGAAAUUAUUGACCCAGCGUUACUAAUCGAAUCCUCUUUGAAGUCAAAAUCAUCAACUGUGAAUUCAAUUGCUGAUUGUUUAGCAUCGUACAGGUUCAGUAUUGUUUCUAAAGAACAACCAAUACCACAAUACUUGGAAAAGCUGGAUGAUUUAUGUGCUUUGCCGGAUAAUGUGCUCCAAAUUUACCUUCGAUUAUUUCACUUUUUAGCUCCUUGUGAUCCUCUUGAAAGUGAAAAAUGGAGAAAACUGUCGAAUCUCAUCACAACUGUCCUUUAUGCCCGAUUUUUCACUCGCAAGAAAGUUUCCAAUCCUGUGGUGAUUCAAUGGCUGUACAAGACAGUCAAAGCUUUGGAUAGCGUUUCAAGGAGUUAA
rnacentral:lncRNA from 1 species